rnacentral:rRNA from 1 species
GCCCAGCCGUAAACUUUUAAUUACAACUUAAAUCGCCAGGGAACUACGAGCCAAGCUUAAAACCCAAAGGACUUGACGGUACCCCACAUCCACCUAGAGGAGCCUGUCCUAUAAUCGAUAAUCCACGUUUAACCUCACCAUUUUUAGUUAAUCAGCCUGUAUACCUCCGUCGUCAGCUUACCACGUGAGCGCCAAUUAGUGAGCUUAAUGUUUUUCACCAAUACGUCAGGUCAAGGUGCAGCAAAUGAAAUGGGAAGAGAUGGGCUACACUUUCUAUAUUAGAAAAUACGAAAAACUACUUAUGAAACCUAGUUAGAAGGCGGAUUUAGCAGUAAAAAGGAAUCAGCAUAUUCAUUUUAACCCGGCACUGGGGUGUGU